rnacentral:rRNA from 1 species
CAGCAGCCCGGUAAUACGAAGGGUGCAAGCGUUAAUCGGAAUUACUGGGCGUAAAGCGUGCGUAGGCGGUUUGUUAAGUCUGCUGUGAAAUCCCCGGGCUCAACCUGGGAAUGGCAGUGGAUACUGGCAAGCUAGAGUGUGUCAGAGGAUGGUGGAAUUCCCGGUGUAGCGGUGAAAUGCGUAGAGAUCGGGAGGAACAUCAGUGGCGAAGGCGGCCAUCUGGGACAACACUGACGCUGAGGCACGAAAGCGUGGGGAGCAAACAGGAUUAGAUACCCCUGUAGUCCCUGUCUCUUAUACA